GCGGUCGGACGGUAACAGGUGGCUAGACUGCUGAAGAGUGGCGAACGGGUGAAAAGACAGCGGAAUGUACCCGGGAAUGGGGGAUAACGCUCCGAAAGGAGUGCUAAUACCGCAUACGCCCUGAGGGGGAAAGUGGGGGACCGCAAGGCCUCGCGUUAUUGGAGCAGCCGAUGGCUGAUUAGCUAGUUGGUGAGGUAAAGGCUCACCAAGGCGACGAUCAGUAGCGGGUCUUAGAGGACGAUCCGCCACACUGGAACUGAGACACGGUCCAGACUUCUACGGAAGGCAGCAGUGGGGAAUCUUGGACAAUGGGCGAAAGCCUGAUCCAGCAAUGCCGCGUGCGUGAAGAAGGCCUUCGGGUUGUAAAGCGCUUUUGUCUGGGAGCAAAUCCUGGCCUCUAAUACAGGUCGGGGAUGAGAGUACCAGAAGAAUAAGGACCGGCUAACUACGUGCCAGCAGCCGCGGUAAUACGUAGGGUCCAAGCGUUAAUCGGAAUUACUGGGCGUAAAGCGUCCGCAGGUGGCUUGAUAAGAUAGACGUGAAAUCCCUGGGCUCAACCUAGGAAUUGCGUUUAUGACUGUCUCGCUAGAGUAUGGGAGAGGGGGGUGGAAUUCCACGUGUAGCAGUGAAAUGCGUAGAGAUGUGGAGGAACACCGAUGGCGAAGGCAACCCCCUGGCCUAAUACUGACACUCAUGGACGAAAGCGUGGGGAGCAAACAGGAUUAGAUACCCUGGUAGUCCACGCCCUAAACGAUGUCAACUAGCUGUU
rnacentral:rRNA from 1 species